rnacentral:rRNA from 1 species
GGGAAACCGGGGCUAAUACCGGAUGGUUGUUUGAACCGCAUGGUUCAAACAUAAAAGGUGGCUUCGGCUACCACUUACAGAUGGACCCGCGGCGCAUUAGCUAGUUGGUGAGGUAACGGCUCACCAAGGCAACGAUGCGUAGCCGACCUGAGAGGGUGAUCGGCCACACUGGGACUGAGACACGGCCCAGACUCCUACGGGAGGCAGCAGUAGGGAAUCUUCCGCAAUGGACGAAAGUCUGACGGAGCAACGCCGCGUGAGUGAUGAAGGUUUUCGGAUCGUAAAGCUCUGUUGUUAGGGAAGAACAAGUACCGUUCGAAUAGGGCGGUACCUUGACGGUACCUAACCAGAAAGCCACGGCUAACUACGUGC